CCUCAUUUUCCUCCCAGCACUUAAUCUUCUCUGAAAUAACCAUAUUCUUUGAUUGCUUUUGGUCCUGUGUUUUCCCAACACCGAGAAAGGCUCUCACAAUCUCUAGAUUUGCACAAAGGUGGGGCUUUCUCUGUUUUUAUUUGAUUUUUUGUUGUUUUAUUUUUUAAGUUUUGUUUUCUUUUUUGACUCCGCAAGGGUCUGGGCAGUGCCUGGCCCACAGUAGACUCCUAAGAAGUGUUCACUGAGGGGCAAUUAGGAGGUGCUUAGUGGCUGCACCAGACCUUCAGCAUCCUAGACCCCUGGCUCUGACACUUACUGCUUAAGAAUCACCAGGGCCACUUACUGAAAAUGUACAAUCCUGAGAGCCGGACUUACUAAGUCUGGGUUUGGACUUGGAAACAUGCAUUUUUAACAAGAUCUCCACUGGGUUCUGAUGCCAGUGUCCUGGAGGGGGCCACACUUCAUGAUAAGCUAUCAUCCCAACCCACUCAGGGAAUGGCAUGGAGUCCAGAAUUGCUAUUGGAACACUGCCCUCCUCGGAGGCUCCUGCCUGCUGGAGGCGUGGUGGCCUGAUGAUUGGCAUCACUCCUGUAGCUUGAGGGUCCAGAGUGUGGACUCACAUGGCGCUUCAGACCCUUCUCUGAAGCCUGACUCUUUGGGGGCAGUGCUGCAGAUUGACAAAGGGUGUUUCUGCACAGGCCUGACUCACACAACACUGGAAUGGGCCGGGAAGGAGCCUCCCGGCCAGACGCCCACUUUGGUACCAGCCCUGGGUUAUGUAACUCCAGAUGCCUGUGACUAACCCAUGGCCCCGAGGGCAUCUCUGGGUGGGGAAAAGAUGAGGGCUGACUUCUCCAGAAUUUAAAACGAAACAUCUCAGGACUAUUUAUAAAAGCACAGGACACACUAGGGGGAAGUUCAGAUAAAGGCCGUGGAGGGGUGCAGACAAGGAAAGGGAACCAGGAGGUGUACUUGCAAACUUGACCUACUAAAGGCAUGGCUUCCAGAGCUCUGAGGACAGUUGACCUUCAAAACAACGAUUGACCUUGGGGAAAGGAUGAGUCACAGAGGCUCCAGGGCCUGGUUCCUGCUGGCAGAGCUUCCAGCCUCUGAGUCCCAGAGUGUUCUCUCCUAGGAGUGAAACAUGUACUUGGUAGAUGUCGGCUGCCUCCACCAAAUGCAAAAACGCAUCUCAUCCUGUGAGCUGACCUUGCUGGGGGCACCGUCUGGGAGUCGUUUUUGAUUAGAAGUUGACCUCAGAAAUAUGCUCACAUCAUUUUGAAAGCAUCUUCCAGCACCACAGAAAUCGACUCAGAUGGAGAAAGGACACUGAGUGGACAGGGGCCAGGAUGGGGCGUGGACGCUCUGCCUCUGCCGGGGACAAGGCCUUCCCACAGACUCCCUGGGGUGUUGCCAGCCUGAGUCAGAGGUAGGAGGCCAGCCCUGUCGAGCCCCCAUACACUUAUGUAUUGACCUGGGGCCAGUGCUGUGGAUGGCAAUGACCAUCAUCAUCACCAUCGUCAUCAUCAACACUAGCUACUAUUAUCAAGUGCUUAUUCCAACCCACAUGGUUUCUAAGGGAGUCACAUGAAGUGACCUCACAUCAUUCUCACAGCAUCCUGCCAGGCAGGUACCAUUGGCGUUUGCCAUCUGAGUAUUAUCACCAUCUGAGGUCCCACUCAGGAGCUGGGCAUGUCGAUAUUGAUGUAAUGCCUACCGUGUUCCAGACACGCUGCGAGGCCCUGGGGAUGCAGCCACAAUCCCAACAGAUCUGAUGCCUGCUCUCAUGGAACUGACUUUGCACUGGGGGGAGGCCAACUCCACGAAAACAGAAACUGGAUGACACAUUGGAGGGAGAGCAGUAAAAGGAGCAAGCAGAGAGCAAGAACAACAGUGUUGCCAUGGGGCGGGUGGGCCCGCUGUAGCCAGGGAGGGCCUCUCCGAAGGUAUAACAGUGCCUUGCUGAAUUCACUCCCACGACCCCUCCAUGCUUGGGUCAGGAUGCAUGAACCUGAAAGCACAUGAAGUCCUCUCUGGGAUCUUCUGCCUUUGGUCCUAACUGUUCUCAGGGGGAAGCGACUCUGAAGGCCAAGAGGUAAGUUUCCUAAGCAACCGGGCCUGCUGGUCUUGAGCCCUCCCCUGUGCCUUUUUUUUUGAGUCUCCCUCCGUCACACAGGCUGGAGUGCAGUGGCGCCAUCUCGGCUCAUCUCCGCCUCCAGGUUCAAGCGAUUCUCCUGCCUCAACCUCCUAAGGGAACCUGCCACCAUGGCCCGGCUAAUUUUUGUAUUUUUAGUAGUGACGGGGUUUCACCAUGUUGGCCAGGCUGGUCUCGAACUCCUGACCUUGCCUCGGCCUCCCAAAGUGCUGGGAUUACAGGCGUGAGCCACCAUGCCCAGCCCUUCCCCUCUGACUUCUUCUGUCUCAAAACUGAAAAGGCCUGUUACUUGAAACAGAGCUCUCCCAGACCUCUGCUUUACACUUACUAAGUAACUUCCCAGUGUUCAUCUUCUCCAGGGAAACCUGGCCGUACUUGAGUGAGGCUCAGUGAAAAGAACAUAAAACCCUCAAUAGGACCCUCAAUAGGACUGUAGCCCAGAGCUGUGGGUGGGGUCUGAAGAGUGAUGGUGGAACAGCAGUAAAUCCCCUCCCAGGCCACGCUGGUCAGAGUCAGCCACAGGCCUGAGCCGCUGGCUUGCCAAAGUCCCCAAGCCCAAGACACACAUUAAAAAGGCAUCGCCCUUCGACAAGUUCCCUGGGGGGCUUACAACCUCAGCACUGAUAUUUUACUUGCAUUUUUAUCCUCGGAUGCAAAGUCCUGAGGACACUCCUGAGGGACUCCCCAGGAGCCGAUUCCUCAGAUGCAAAAAGUCCUGAGGAGGGACAGUGGCAGAUGGCUGGAGAAUGUGCUCCUCCCCCCAGGGCUUCCUUCUGCCAUAGGGAAGUAGGGGUUCAUCUCAGCAGGCCCCAUCCUCUGGCAAUCAUGCUUCUCAAGCGUCAGCUCCCCUGGGUGUACUAAUAUAAACUCUAAGAUGGGCUGGGCACUGUGUGUGCUGGUUUAUUCCGAUUAGAAUAUGGAGAAGAUUAAAUAACAGCAACAGCAUCUAAGAAGCUGAGGCACAGAGAGGUAAUGCAACCUUCCUUCCUCAAUGUCUCAUCUGGACUUCACACCCCAGGGCCUCCUGAAACCUGCACGAUAAGGUCUUCUUAGCGGCCAGGCUCCUCUGUGGAGGCCCAUCGAGGUGGAUCUGCUGGGUGAGGGGCUCAGCCGAGCACCCUGGGAAACUCAGUUCCAAGGGGCUGAUUUCAAAUCCAGAAACCAAGUAGCAGAAUCCUGCGACUUCAAAAGCCACAACAAGGAAGCCCCCCGGGAGGAGCUGAAACCUUGAGUGGAGGGAAUCAGGAUUGGAAAUGACCUAAGCACAGGGCGGGGCUUCCUCAGUGGCUUCUUAGGUAGGUUUUCGGACCUCCCUGCCCACUCUGCUGUUCCCCAGUGCCGGACACCCACCACGGAUGGAGAGCCUCAUUUAACUGGACACCCACAACAAAGUGUGCAAAACCAAAAAGGAGCAGGCUCCAAAGACGUUGCUGCAUUUUUCCACGCAGGCCAGCCCUGGAAUCGGGGAGCAUGCAAGUUAAUGGGGCCUCAUCCCCCCUUCUCCCGCCCAACCCUGAGAUUCUCAGGGAGGUCCCCAGGAGUGUCCACUUCAGGAGUGGAGGGGUCUAGCCCUUAAGAGCAGGAGAAUGAGAAGAGAGGGCCUUCAGCCUGUCAAGUUUUCUUAUACUUUACUUAAAAAAAAAAAAAUUCAAGUUAAGGAAACACACAGCUGGAAAACAAAAG
rnacentral:lncRNA from 1 species